rnacentral:rRNA from 1 species
AUUGAACGCUGGCGGCAGGCCUAACAAAUGCAAGUCGAACGCGUGGCGGACGGGUGAGUAAUGUCUGGGAAACUGCCUGAUGGAGGGGGAUAACUCCUGGAAACGGUAGCUAAUACCGCAUACCAUCAGAUGUGCCCAGAUGGGAUUAGCUAGUUGGUGGGGUAACGGCUCACCAAGGCGACGAUCCCUAGCUGGGCUGAGAGGAUGAACAGCCAACCUGGAACUGGGACAAGGUCCAGACUCCGACGGGAGGCAGCAGUGGGGAAUAUUGCACAAUGGGCGCAAGCCUGAUGCAGCCAGGCCGCGUGGAUGAAGAAGGCCUUCGGGUUGUAAAGUACUUUCAGCGGGGAGUCGUUACCCGCAGAAGAAGCACCGGCUAACUCCGUGCCAGCAGCCGCGGUAAUUC